rnacentral:rRNA from 1 species
GAUGAACGCUGGCGGCGUGCCUAAUACAUGCCAGUCGAGUGAACAGACGAGGAGCUUGCUCCUCUGACGUUAGCGGCGGACGGGUGAGUAACACGUGGAUAACCUACCUAUAAGACUGGGAUAACUUCGGGAAACCGGAGCUAAUACCGGAUAAUAUAUUGAACCGCAUGGUUCAAUAGUGAAAGACGGUUUUGCUGUCACUUAUAGAUGGAUCCGCGCCGCAUUAGCUAGUUGGUAAGGUAACGGCUUACCAAGGCAACGAUGCGUAGCCGACCUGAGAGGGUGAUCGGCCACACUGGAACUGAGACACGGUCCAGACUCCUACGGGAGGCAGCAGUAGGGAAUCUUCCGCAAUGGGCGAAAGCCUGACGGAGCAACGCCGCGUGAGUGAUGAAGGUCUUCGGAUCGUAAAACUCUGUUAUUAGGGAAGAACAAAUGUGUAAGUAACUAUGCACGUCUUGACGGUACCUAAUCAGAAAGCCACGGCUAACUACGUG